rnacentral:rRNA from 1 species
AUGAACGCUGGCGGCGUGCCUAAUACAUGCAAGUCGAGCGAACAGGCGAGGAGCUUGCUCCUCUGACGUUAGCGGCGGACGGGUGAGUAACACGUGGAUAACCUACCUAUAAGACUGGGAUAACUUCGGGAAACCGGAGCUAAUACCGGAUAAUAUAUUGAACCGCAUGGUUCAAUAGUGAAAGACGGUUUUGCUGUCACUUAUAGAUGGAUCCGCGCCGCAUUAGCUAGUUGGUAAGGUAACGGCUUACCAAGGCAACGAUGCGUAGCCGACCUGAGAGGGUGAUCGGCCACACUGGAGCUGAGACACGGUCCAGACUCCUACGGGAGGCAGCAGUAGGGAAUCUUCCGCAAUGGGCGAAAGCCUGACGGAGCAACGCCGCGUGAGUGAUGAAGGUCUUCGGAUCGUAAAACUCUGUUAUUAGGGAAGAACAAAUGUGUAAGUAACUAUGCACGUCUUGACGGUACCUAAUCAGAAAGCCACGGCUAACUACGUG